CUAAUGCCUCUUCGGACGUCCUCACUUCCUCCUCCUAGGGUGACAUCAUCUGACCUCCAGCUGUCAAUCUUCACCAUGCUUUCAGUCACGCCCAUUCUUCUCUACGCAUCCAUCUGGUCAGUGGGUGUUGCCCUUUCUUCAAGCUAACUCUCUCUCACACACACACGUUCUUUUUAAAGUUGGCUGUGAGACCAUUAAGGACUUUGCAUUUUCCUAUCUUCCAGUGCAUAGUUGAGCUGCCUUGGUCAGGGCUCCAUAGAGAGAAAUGAACCAAAAAACUUCUGGUGGUGUACUGCAGUUUGUUGCCUCUUCCUUGGACUCUGGCUGAAUGGCAGAGUGAUGUCAGCUGAGAGAGACGCAGGAGCUGAGGCCUCCUGGGGCUCACUUCUCCAUCCACUGGCUUGAGACAGAGGGGAAGCCACUAUCGAAGACCAGGGCAUGGACACCUUCCUGCUGGAAGUUUGGGAGAUCUCGCUAGCCAGAACCUGCCCUUUAUGGAGCCCAUAAACAUCCCAGGGUAGUAGAAAAUCAUCACAGCAUGGAGGAGACACAUCAGCCAGGCGCCCAGCAAAUGGUGCCGAGAAGCGGGCCUGAACACCUGGAAGAGGUGGGGUCAUGAUGGUAUCAGCAGCACCUGGCACAUCUGGCUGAUAACGGCAGGACCGUCUGAUAGAUGAGGUCAAGUCCGGGAUGACGUCCAGAAGGCUCUGGGGUACGGGUCACAGUUUUCAAAUCUUCACUCCAUCAUCCCGUCCUGUUUAACAGCACACACUAAAAACGCCACUGGGAGGCAAAUUUCC